UACAUGUGGGGCAAGCGUUGUUCGGAAUUACUGGGCAUAAAGGGUGCGUAGGUGGUUUGUUAAGUCACGGGUGAAAGUUUUCGGCCCAACCGGAAAAUUGCCUGUGAUACUGGCGAACUUGAGUGCGUGAGGGUUAACCGGAACGAGCAGUGUAGCGGUGAAAUGCGUAGAUAUUGCUCGGAAGGCCAGAGGCGAAGGCGGGUUACUGGUACGCAACUGACACUGAGGCACGAAAGCGUGGGGAGCAAACAGG
rnacentral:rRNA from 1 species